CCUAGUGGCGGACGGGUGAGGAAUACGUAGGGAUCUGCCUUUAAGUGGGGGAUAACCCGGGGAAACCCGGAUUAAUACCGCAUGAUCUCGCAAGAGCAAAGUGGGGGAUCGCAAGACCUCACGCUUUUAGAGGAACCUACGUCGGAUUAGCUUGUUGGUGAGGUAAUGGCUCACCAAGGCGACGAUCCGUAACUGGUCUGAGAGGAUGAUCAGUCACACUGGAACUGAGACACGGUCCAGACUCCUACGGGAGGCAGCAGUGGGGAAUAUUGGACAAUGGGCGCAAGCCUGAUCCAGCAAUGCCGCGUGCGGGAAGAAGGCCUUCGGGUUGUAAACCGCUUUUGUACGGAACGAAAAGGCUCUGGCUAAUACCUGGGGCUGAUGACGGUACCGUAAGAAUAAGCACCGGCUAACUACGUGCCAGGAGCG
rnacentral:rRNA from 1 species